rnacentral:rRNA from 1 species
CGGAUUGUAGCCUGNAACCCGGCUACAUGAAGCUGGAAUCGCUAGUAAUCGCAGAUCAGAAUGCUGCGGUGAAUACGUUCCCGGGUCUUGUACACACCGCCCGUCACACCAUGGGAGCCGGGAAUGCCCGAAGUCGGUGACCCAACCGUAAGGAGGGAGCCGCCGAAGGCAGGCCUGGUAACUGGGGUGAAGUCGUAACAAGGUAAC